CGUCCCCUGCGGCGUUCGAAGUGGGUUGGGUUACCCUCUGAGCCUUAAAUUGCAACCCCGGGAGUCCGGCGGGCGUAGAUGGUGUGCAUGUCCGCCCCGUUGCGGAAAGCCUGAUUCUUCGCACCGGUUCCCACCUGAGCCAUUCGGUUCAAGGGAAAAACCCACUACGACGCAAGCGGGGGAUCU
rnacentral:other from 1 species